CUGAUCAGUGAGCUGGAGGGGAAGUGUCAGAAGCCAGCGACUGAGUUCCUGCAGGAUGUCAGAAGCACCUUGAGCAGGUGUAAGAAGAGGAAGUUGCAGCAGCCACAGGAGAU